UCGAUGGUUACAACGCUAUUACACUAUUUAUAACACUUUAAUAAAAUUACUAUUUACGGAGUUACAGUAUUGGUUCUGUUUCUAACAUUAUCUAUACAAGUCAAUGAUUUUAAAUUGUUGAAUUGAAGCUGUGGCCCGUGGAUUUGAAUACGAAUUGCCUCGGUUAGGUCAAGACGAUUGCUACUUUGUGUCUUUACCCAGAGAAUUAGAAACGAAACGUGAUUAUAUGGUGAAAUUCCUAUCAGAGACCGGAAUGAAACCCAUUAUUCCUGAAGGUGGCUAUUUUAUUAUGGCAGACUAUUCGCAGCUAGCAAAAAAUUUAGAUUUAAGCACAGAAAAGGAUAAAUAUAAGGAUUACAGAUUUACAAAAUGGAUGACAAAAAAUGUUGGUUUACAGGGUAUUCCAUCAACUGCUUUCUACAGCGAACCAAAUAAGAGCUUAAGUGAAGAUUUUGUUAGGUAUUGUUUUAUCAAAGAAGAUGGAAACUUACAAAAAGCUGCAGAUAUUUUGCUGAAAUGGAAAGCCAGUCAAAAAUAAAUGAUUUGUUUUGUUAAAUGUUAUAUUCCCUUGAGAAAUAAAUUAUUUUCAUGUUA